rnacentral:rRNA from 1 species
UACAGAGGGGGCAAGCGUUGUUCGGAAUUACUGGGCGUAAAGCGCGCGUAGGCAGCUUUGCAAGUCGAGUGUGAAAUCCCCAGGCUUAACCUGGGAACUGCAUUCGAGACUGCAUGGCUAGAGUAUGGGAGAGGGAAGUGGAAUUUCAGGUGUAGCGGUGAAAUGCGUAGAUAUCUGAAGGAACAUCAGUGGCGAAAGCGACUUCCUGGACCAAUACUGACGCUCAUGUGCGAAAGCGUGGGGAGCAAACAGG